rnacentral:lncRNA from 1 species
GGGAGUUGAAGAGAAAUCAGUGGAGUGAUUCAAGGAGCGAUAAGGGGAGAGAUUUUAGGAGAAAAAAUGGAAGUGGGGUGUUAAGGGGUGUGUAUGCCGAAUUUGGUUAUUAGGCACUAGGAUAAUCGAUUUUGAGGUUUUUGGGGGUUAUUUUCUCUCUGUUUGCUUCGGUUUCGGUCAGUAAUCUUUUCAUUUUUUUCUUUUGGUGUCGAAUUUUGCUAAGACUUGGUGUACCUCUCGGGUUUGUUUGAUAUCUUUUUCUGCUAAUCCCUUUUAUUCCUUUUUGUGUUGGCCAAAUAGCUUUUUGGUUUCCCUCUGCCAAAUUCUCUUUUUAUUUUUCUUCCCCUCUUCUCUUUGCUACUUUUUUUUGCUUAUCUACUUUUUCACACCUUGACCGAAUAGUGUUGAAGUAGUUCGUGUUACAUCUUUUGUCCGAAU